GAAAGAUCUCCCAUGCUCAUGGAUUGGCAGGAUUAAUUUAGUAAAAAUGGCCAUUUUACCAAAAGCAAUCUACAGAUUCAAUGCAAUCCCCAUCAAAAUACCAAUCCAAUUCUUCAAAGAGUUAGACAGAACAAUUUGCAAAUUCAUCUGGAAUAACAAAAAACCCAGGAUAGCUAAAGCUAUCCUCAACAAUAAAAGGACUUCAGGGGGAAUCACUAUCCCUGAACUCAAGCAGUAUUACAGAGCAAUAGUGAUAAAAACUGCAUGGUAUUGGUACAGAGACGGACAGAUAGACCAAUGGAAUAGAAUUGAAGACCCAGAAAUG
rnacentral:lncRNA from 1 species